rnacentral:rRNA from 1 species
GAUGAACGCUGGCGGCGUGCCUAAUACAUGCAAGUCGAGCGAACGGACGAGAAGCUUGCUUCUCUGAUGUUAGCGGCGGACGGGUGAGUAACACGUGGAUAACCUACCUAUAAGACUGGGAUAACUUCGGGAAACCGGAGCUAAUACCGGAUAAUAUUUUGAACCGCAUGGUUCAAAAGUGAAAGACGGUCUUGCUGUCACUUAUAGAUGGAUCCGCGCUGCAUUAGCUAGUUGGUAAGGUAACGGCUUACCAAGGCAACGAUGCAUAGCCGACCUGAGAGGGUGAUCGGCCACACUGGAACUGAGACACGGUCCAGACUCCUACGGGAGGCAGCAGUAGGGAAUCUUCCGCAAUGGGCGAAAGCCUGACGGAGCAACGCCGCGUGAGUGAUGAAGGUCUUCGGAUCGUAAAACUCUGUUAUUAGGGAAGAACAUAUGUGUAAGUAACUGUGCACAUCUUGACGGUACCUAAUCAGAAAGCCACGGCUAACUACGUGCCAGCAGCCGCGGUAAUACGUAGGUGGCAAGCGUUAUCCGGAAUUAUUGGGCGUAAAGCGCGCGUAGGCGGUUUUUUAAGUCUGAUGUGAAAGCCCACGGCUCAACCGUGGAGGGUCAUUGGAAACUGGAAAACUUGAGUGCAGAAGAGGAAAGUGGAAUUCCAUGUGUAGCGGUGAAAUGCACAGAGAUAUGGAGGAACACCAGUGGCGAAGGCGACUUUCUGGUCUGUAACUGACGCUGAUGUGCGAAAGCGUGGGGAUCAAACAGGAUUAGAUACCCUGGUAGUCCACGCCGUAAACGAUGAGUGCUAAGUGUUAGGGGGUUUCCGCCCCUUAGUGCUGCAGCUAACGCAUUAAGCACUCCGCCUGGGGAGUACGACCGCAAGGUUGAAACUCAAAGGAAUUGACGGGGACCCGCACAAGCGGUGGAGCAUGUGGUUUAAUUCGAAGCAACGCGAAGAACCUUACCAAAUCUUGACAUCCUUUGACAACUCUAGAGAUAGAGCUUUCCCCUUCGGGGGACAAAGUGACAGGUGGUGCAUGGUUGUCGUCAGCUCGUGUCGUGAGAUGUUGGGUUAAGUCCCGCAACGAGCGCAACCCUUAAGCUUAGUUGCCAUCAUUAAGUUGGGCACUCUAAGUUGACUGCCGGUGACAAACCGGAGGAAGGUGGGGAUGACGUCAAAUCAUCAUGCCCCUUAUGAUUUGGGCUACACACGUGCUACAAUGGACAAUACAAAGGGCAGCGAAACCGCGAGGUCAAGCAAAUCCCAUAAAGUUGUUCUCAGUUCGGAUUGUAGUCUGCAACUCGACUACAUGAAGCUGGAAUCGCUAGUAAUCGUAGAUCAGCAUGCUACGGUGAAUACGUUCCCGGGUCU